rnacentral:snRNA from 1 species
AGCUUUGCGCAGUGGCAGUAUCGUAGCCAAUGAGGUUUAUCCGAGGCGCAAUUAUUGCUAAUUGAAAUCAGUGAAACCCUUUAAGUCUUAACAAAGGUAAGUAUGAAACUGCCUCAAAGGGA